GAUUAACCUUAUCUUUGGAGACGAGGUCGAAGUUUCUGAGGCAGUAGGUUUGGCCAAACUGGAUUGAACUCCAAGGUUGAUGCAGCAAAGGCUUGCUGUGACUUCCUGCCAAACAUCGAUCGAGUCCACAGAUUUGAAGGUGGAAACUGUGGACUUGAAUCGGUCUGAGCUGAUAACUCCACUGUCACGUCGUGCAGAAGAAGAAGGUUUUUAUCUCUCUAGACACCGGCUGAUUCCAUCACAUGUACAGGCCAUCUGUCCGAUUCGAUUCAAGACUCCGUAGUCCCUUCAAUUAAUCUAGUCACAAAUGAAGUUGUCGAGAUGCAGUCACCUCUAUCACUUGCUCCUCUGGGAGGAAGCUUGCGUAAAACAAUGCAAGAAAGGGAUACAUGAGUGUGCAUCCAAGUGAAGAAUGAUGAUGGGUAUAUUCAUUGUUCUCCCUGUUGUAUCAAAAAAGAAAUCUUUCAAGGAGAUCGGCGUAAAGAACAUGUCAAGAGAAUCAUGAUGCGUAGAGGAAGCAAAGAAAGCCCGUUGCCUGAACCUUUUCUUUUCCCCUGCAUAGAAAUUGCAAUCGUUCAUGGAUGCUGACAACAAAGUCAUGGCCGCCAUUCAAGCGGCGCAGUCAGUCCACUGUGACAGGAGGAAGCUUCCAGGCAAAAGGUCAAGCUCACAUACGGCAAGCUUCGAGCCUCCUAUAAUUGACCGUAUGGGCUUCUCCUCUAAGCACGAGCAGGAGACAAGACCGUGCUAAGGCAGUUGAGCUCAGCCGACGCAUUUGAACUGCUGAUUCCUCCUGCUUUCUUCCAAGUCGUGUGGGAUUCCUGUGAUGAGAAACCGCAAUAGAAAGAACGGUUGAGAUUGGAGGAUAGGAUGAGCUUACAUGAUUGGACGGUUGUGAUCGAGAUGAGAUUGACAGAAUGAUGAUGGAUAGGAGAGAAUUACCAAUUUCCACAUCUUACCAAUAAUUGAAGCCUUUGUUUGCCCUCUUCCGGCACUCUCUCGUUAUCAGUGCUCCCCAACUCAGCAAGAAAGGAGGACAGAAGAAGAGCGGAUUGAAGAGAAAGAGAUCGAUCGGUUAGAUGGAGGGUCUGAUACCGUUGGUGAUGCGCGCGAUCAAGCGGAGCCGGGACCGGAGCUCCUACCGCCGCCUCGCCGUCGAGAGGUCGCCGCUGCUCGCGGCCGAGGAGUGGAAGCCGCGGGAUCGCGAUCGCGCCCCGUCCGAGUUCCCUCCGCUGCCGCCGCCGCCGCCGCUGCCCUCCGCGCGCUUCGGAUCCGGCUCCCGACCCUCCGGCCGGCACAUGGCGCCGUCGCGGAGCCUCCGAGGCGACGCCCUGGUAGAUUCGUUGAAUCGUCGAUGAGAGUCGGAAUCGGCAAUAUUUGCGUAGAAGAGAUGUUACUUCAACUGUACAAUUACGCGUUCCGUGUUGGAAAAUGGGUAGACAUUUCCCAUUAAACCAAUUUAAUGUUCCCAUCGAUCUGUACGUCUUCAAUGAUUGUGUUCUUUGCUGUAUCAGUAACAGAAACUUUUAUCUA